ACUUGUAAGUCUGCAACUGUAACAUGCUCACCCAACACUUGGUGUUUCUCCAGUGCUGUUUGGUAUGUCCGUCCCAGCUUACACACUGCAGAUUCCUGCUCUUCUGAGCUGAGGUUGAAAUAUUAUUGCCUCUACAAUUAUUUCCUUGUGUGUGUAUGUGUGUGUUCAGUCACUUAGUCCUGUCCAACUCUUCACAGCCACGUGGACUCUAGCCCGCCAGGCUUCUCUGUCCAUGGAAUUUUCCAGCUUGUGCGGUCCACAACUUGUAUGGGACAUUCGAGAUGGACCUGAAAUGAGAGAUUAGAAACAACAGGGAUGGGGAAAUGAGAACUUCCCAGAGUGAAAGUGUACAUCUUCAGAUUCAAAGGAGUCAUUGGAAGCCCAGCAAAAUGAAUGCAAAAGCCAACACGUAACCACAGCAAGACCGAGCAGUGUGGAUUGUGGCAUCUUAAUUCCCCCGCUAGGAUCUAAGCUGUGUCUUGUACAUCGGCAGUGCUGAGUCUUAACCAUUGGACUGCCAGAAAAGUCCCUGUGUGUGUGUUUAAAAAUUACUCUUGAUGAAUAUACUGUAACUUCCAUUUAUGAAUGAUCAAACGAAUCAGGACAAAGUUUAAUGACAUAUCUAAGGCUACUGAGAGUCCCUUGCCUAGCAAGAUCAAACCAGUCAAUCCUAAAGGAAUUCAACUCUGAAUAUUCAUUGCAAGGACUGAUGCUGAAGCUGAAGCUCCAAUCUUUUGGCCACCUGAUGUGAAGCGCUUACUCGCUGGAAGAGACCCUGAUGCUGGGAAAGAUUGAGGGCAGGAAGAAAAGAGGGUGACAGAGGAUGAGAUAGUUGGAUGGCAUCAUCGACUCCAUGAACAUGAGUUUGCGCAAACUCCGGGAGAUGGUGAAGGACAGGGAAGCCUGGCGUGCUGCAGUCCAUGGGGUUACAAAGAGUUGGACACGACUGAGCUACUGAACAAGUCUACAGAGUUAGAAUGUGGAAGAAGCAAGCAUCAACACUGGAGUCUGCUCUGGAGCCUGUGUUUCUCAGCACUAUACCUUGAGUUAUUUACCUUGAGUGAUUUAAUUAGGCAAGCUCUUUCCUGAUGGCUGAUUGUCACAUAUAUGGAAGGAGGGCAGAGCUGUUGAUUUUGACCAUGAUUGAGGAGGUUGGGGAAUAUUUCACAAUGGUAGAACCAUUUGAAUUUACCCUUAAAUGAUGAAUAUGAUUUAUAAAUAGACAGGACAGUUCAAACAAAAGAGAUAGUCUCUGAAAAGUCCACUCAAAAGAUGGGCACGGGAUAGUCCAGAAAUGUGUUCUGUCUUCUGGGUGAGUUCUCCAGUCCCUUUAACCCUUUACCUAUGAACGGUCUUUUCUCAGUAUCCCAGCCUGCCUAAAAAGUCCACUUUUCCUUAGGGCUUUCUCCUCUUUCAUCUUAAUAUUUCAAGAUACAUAGAUAUAUGUUUUAAUAUGCUUCACGUUUUUAAAACUAAAAUGAGUGAACACACACGUGGAAGCCCUUGUUGAUUGUCUUGAUCUUGUCUUUCUUAGCUCUUGGUUCUUCUAAGACACAGCACUGAUAAGUGGGGUAGAUACUGCCUCAGGUAAAAGAGUCUUCAUGACCAGGACAGAAGUUUUAGUUAUUUCAGCUGUCUUAAUAAAAACCAAAAAAAGAUGUUAAUGAUCAUCUCCAUGCCCAUCCUUACUGGAGAGCCUUUUGUCCUUGGAAUGUCAUAUUUAUGUAUUUAUGACAUGAGCAAUAAAUAGAAUAGGGUGACAUUCACCAGACUCUGGGGGUUGUUGACAAGGGGCCUCCAUGAAUGUCUCAUCUAGGCCGUAUCUGCCCAUGAUGUGAUAAACUGAGAUAGCUCUCCAGAGAAAUCAAGUCAAGUCCAAGAGGUAGAGUGUGGGUCGAACUGUUGUAGGUAUGCUCAAGGCAUGGGGCCAGAACUCGAAAGCAAAUACUUGGUGCUGCAAGACGCUCCUUAUAGGGUAAUAGGCUUGGUCCUUCCAGGACGACCUGGCCUCCUUCAUACAUGGUGUAAAAGACCGUGAACGUGUGUUCUGGGCUCCUCUGACACAGUCAAGCCCUCACUUGACCCGGGCUGCACUGACCACCUCUGUUGACCCCUUAACAUGGUGCUGUCGACUGAACUGUGUCCCUUCUGCCCCUCCCCCCAUUGAUAUGUUGAAGCCUUAAUCUCUAAUGAGGUGGUAUUUGGAGAUGGGGCCUUGGCAGAAUAUUCAUUGGAAGGACCGAUGCUGAAGUUGAAGCUCCAACCCUUUGGCCACCUGAUGCAAAGAACCAACUCAUUGCAAAAGACCCUGAUGCUGGGAAAGACUGAGGGCAAGAGCAGAAGUGGGCGACAGACGAUGAGUUGGUUGGAUAGCAUCACCGACUCGAUUGACAUGAGUAUGAACAAACUCCAGGAGAUAAUGAAGGACAGGGAAGCCUGGCGUGCUGCAGUCCAUGGGGUCGCAAAGCGUCAGACAUGACUGGGCGACUGAACAACAAGGAUGAGGUUUAUGAGGGCAGGACCCUCAGGACAGGAUCGGUGCCCUAGUAAGAAGAGCUUUCAGAGGGCCCGCUUCCUCUCUCUCCUGGGUGGGAACGCAUCGAGAAGGCGGCUGUGUACAAGCCAGGACCAGUCCUUACCAGGAGCUGAAUUGGCUGGCAACUUGAUCUUGAAUUUCCUGGUAUCCAGGAAAUACCCUGAGAAAUAAAUUCUGUUGUUAAGCCUAUGGUGUUUGGUUGCAGCAGCCCAAGCUGGCACUUGGGAACGCCUUGUUGAGAGAACAAUGGAAGCGCUCAUUUGUUGUCUUUGAUCUGAGAUAUCGUGUGGUUUUCGGUGAAAGCUAUUGAGAAAACAACCCUGAACCCAGUCUGAGCUGUCAUUCCUAUCAAUUAGCCCUCUUAUCUUUCCCUCCACUUACCCUGUGAUGGCAAGCAAGAUAUCCUCCUUUGUUUUGUGUUGUCAGAAGAUAAGUGAGUUGUGUUUGAGUUUGGGGUAGACUAUAGCUCAGAUGGUAAAGAAUCUGCUUGCAAUGCAGGAGACCUGGGUUCAAUCCCUGGGUCUGAAAGAUCCCCUGGAGAAGGAAAUGGCAACCCACUCCACCAUGCUUGCCUGGAGAAUCGAAUGGAGAGGAACCUGGUUGGCUAUAGUCCAUGGGAUUUCAGAGUCGGACACGCUGAACAACUAACACAGACAGACAUCUUGACAACCAAGUACUGUGUUCUAUUUCAAACUUUAUUAAAAGAAUAAACAGCAUAACCUCUCUUGACAGAAGUGAGAUGCUUUAUUUUAGUGUCAGUGAAGUGUAGUUGGUGGGAAAAAGCAACCUCAGGAUCUGUGGGACUCUGGUGACACCUGCUGGACACAUUGAAUAAGACAACCAUACCCCACAGGAGAGUGACCUCUAGCGAAAAAGCCUGGGAAAUGUUCUUUUUAAUUGAAUGUAUAAAAGUUCAGAAUACCAUUUGGACAAUACGAAAUUAGAAGGAAGAAAAGUGAGAGUGUAAGUACUGAGAAUAUUCAAAUUCAUCAGUGAUGUUCAGUUCUCUUCCCUGUGAAGAGAUGUACCAGAAUUAAAUUUUAAUGAUUGUAGCCUA